rnacentral:rRNA from 1 species
CGAACGGGUGAGUAACGCGUGAGGAACCUGCCUCAAAGAGGGGGACAACAGUUGGAAACGACUGCUAAUACCGCAUAAGCCCACAGGUCGGCAUCGACCAGAGGGAAAAGGAGCAAUCCGCUUUGAGGUGGCCUCGCGUCCGAUUAGCUAGUUGGUGAGGUAACGGCCCACCAAGGCAACGAUCGGUAGCCGGACUGAGAGGUUGAACGGCCACAUUGGGACUGAGACACGGCCCAG